rnacentral:tRNA from 2 species
UCAGAAUUGCCUAUAUUAAAUAAUAACAAUAAUUUCUAAUAUGGCAGAUUAGUGCAAUGAAUUUAAGCUUCAUAAAUAAAGAUUAUCCUUUUAUUAGAAAAUAA